rnacentral:rRNA from 1 species
UGGGGAAUAUUGCACAAUGGGGGAAACCCUGAUGCAGCAACGCCGCGUGCGGGAUGACGGCCUUCGGGUUGUAAACCGCUUUCAGCCAUGACGAAGCUUUUGUGACGGUAGUGGCAGAAGAAGCACCGGCUAACUACGUGCCAGCAGCCGCGGUGAUACGUAGGGUGCGAGCGUUGUCCGGAAUUAUUGGGCGUAAAGAGCUUGUAGGCGGUUUGUCGCGUCGAAAGUGUAAACUCAGUGCUUAACGCUGAGCCUGCUUUCGAUACGGGCGGACUAGAGGAAGGUAGGGGAGAAUGGAAUUCCCGGUGGAGCGGUGGAAUGCGCAGAUAUCGGGAGGAACACCAGUGGCGAAGGCGGUUCUCUGGACCUUUCCUGACGCUGAGAAGCGAAAGCGUGGGUAGCAAACAGG